UAAGAUCUUGAUGGAUUCGAAUCAGAUUCUGAUGAAGAUGAGAUUGUUGUUGACCUUCAACCUUAUGUUGAUAAACUUAGAGAUCAUCGCAUCUCAAAGGACAAUCCACAAUAGCAGAAAUCACUGAGAGUUUGUGGAAAUUUUGUUGGAAGUGGUGGCCUCGUAGGUGCAACAUCUUCGUCUUUUUAGAGUUAACAUGCUGCCGAGCAAUUAACCAUGGAUCUCCAGUUGAUCAGUUAGCGGAAGCUGGCCUAACACCAUCUCACAUUGUAGCAACAAUAUUUGACAUACUUGGACAAACCAUAGGGGGUUUUAGAGGUCAUGACCAAGUACACAAAUGUUGUCCACAAAUGUGACUUUUAGGUACUCAUUUUGGUGGAUUAGGCAGACUUAAUUGUCAAGUCACAAGUGUUCCAGAUGCAUGUAAUAGAAACUGGUCAUUUUGUAUUGA